rnacentral:rRNA from 1 species
CAGCAGGUGGCGCACCAGCGUACUUAACCUGCGGUCGGCGCUAGGCUGCGCCGCGCGCACGUUAGCCGUGGGCAUCGCGGCCCGGCUAGGGUGCGCCGGCCCGUACGAGCGUCUCGGGUGCGUGCCGCGUGCUGCUGUGGGUGGAAUCGAGGGGCGCGGACGUGGGGAGCGGAGCGCACCCGCGUGCGGCCGCUGGGUUCGCUAUAAACGGCG